GCCUGCCCAGUGACCAUGUGUUCAACGGCCGCGGUAUUCUGACCGCGCGAAGGUAGCGUAAUCACUUGUUUUUUAAAUAAAGACUAGUAUGAAUGGCCCCACGAGGACUUAACUGUCUCCCUUGUCCAAUCAGUGAAACUGAUCUCCUCGUGCAGAAGCGAGGAUUCUCUCAUAAGACGAGAAGACCCUAUGGAGCUUUAAACUAAAAAUCAACUAUUAUACAUCUAUCCUCCAAGGACCAAAUAAAUAACUAAAUAUGCUUGAUUUAAGUUUUAGGUUGGGGCGACCAUGGAGAAAAAGAAAUCCUCCCUGAUGACCACAAACUAAGAGCCACUACUCUAAGUAUUAAGACACUUAACUCUAAUUGACCCAUUUUAUGAUCAACGAACCAAGUUACCCUAGGGAUAACAGCGCAAUCCACUUCAAGAGUCCCUAUCGACAAGUGGGUUUACGACCUCGAUGUUGGAUCAGGGCAUCCAAGUGGUGCAACCGCUACUAAUGGUUCGUUUGUUCAACGAUUAAAGCCCU
rnacentral:rRNA from 1 species